GUGCCAGCAGCCGCGGUAAGACGAGCCACACAAACGUUAUUCGGAAUUACUGGGCUUAAAGGGUGCGUAGGCGGCGCGGAAAGUUGGGUGUGAAAGCCCUCGGCUCAACCGAGGAAUUGCGCCCAAAACUACCGUGCUUGAGGAAGAUAGAGGUGAGCGGAACUCAGGGUGGAGCGGUGAAAUGCGUUGAUAUCCUGAGGAACACCGGUGGCGAAAGCGGCUCACUGGAUCUUUUCUGACGCUGAGGCACGAAAGCUAGGGUAGCGAACGGGAUUAGAUACCCCCGUAGUCC
rnacentral:rRNA from 1 species